AUGGCGGCAGCGGCGCUCCGGUCCACCGUCGGGCUCGCGGCGCUGCGGCGCGCGGCCACACUGCAGGCCUCGUGUUGCCUCCCCGCCACCGCCGGCGCCGCCUCCUCCAAUGAUGGUUUGAUCACCCUGCGACGGCAGACCAUGUCCACCGCACCCAUUGGCCGACGCGUCGCCAUGUGGAAGAGGAGGUGCAUGGAUGCUGCUUUCACCGCCGUCGCCGGCGGUGUAUCGCUGGUCGGAAUGUUCGCUUACGUUUGGUUCACCAGCCCAGAGGGGGACUGGGAGCGGACUAGCAGAUGA
rnacentral:rRNA from 1 species